rnacentral:SRP_RNA from 1 species
GCCGGGCACGGUGGCGCGUGCCUGUAGUCCCAGCUACUCGAGAGGCUGAGGUGGGAGGAUCGCUUGAGCCCAGGAGUUCUGGGCUGUAGCGCGUUAUGCCUGUUGGGUGUCCACACCAAGUUAGGCAUCAAUAUGGUGACAUCCCGGGAGUGGGGACCACCAGGUUGCCUAAGGAGGGGUGAACCGGCCCAGGUUGGAAACGGAGCAGGUCAAAACUCCCAUGCUGAUCAGUAGUGGGAUCGCGCCUGUGAACAGCCACUGCACUCCAGCCUGAGCAACAUAGGGAGACCCCGUCUCU